CAAACGUGCUUACUCUUUCUCACACUUCUAUAAAUCCUUAGCAAAAGAGUGUUGCAACUAAACACCAACAAUAAAAACAUUCAUAGAUGUCUCAUGUAGCACUUUCUAAAGUGUCACAGCAGGGAAAAGGCUCUACCGGUGGUGACAACCUUCUGUAGCCCUACCCACCAAAUGGAGCUCCAAAAGUACCAUAGGACUUCCGAACCCUCCGUCUCUAUCACCCUUUCUGAGCUCAUAAAACGCGUCGAAGAUGCUCAAAGUGACCAUUCCAAUGGCAGCACUCCUAUCCGUCAUCAUGCCCUGGAGCUUGGCUAUGCUUGUAGCUCUGUGUCCCCUUCAAACCCUUUUGUUCUUUCUUUUAAUAACUUAUCAUACAGUGUCAAAGUUGGCCAAAAAUUGACUUUUCCAUUCUGUGGAAACGAUUCAGAUGACUCUCCUGAGACUGGCAUCAAGG
rnacentral:misc_RNA from 1 species